UCCCUGGUGGUCCAAUGGUUAAGAAUCCAUCUUGAAAUGCAGGAGACUCAGGUUUGAUUCCUGGUUAGGGAA
rnacentral:tRNA from 1 species